rnacentral:rRNA from 1 species
UACGUAGGGGGCAAGCGUUGUCCGGAUUUACUGGGCGUAAAGAGCGUGUAGGCGGCCAAGCAGGUCCGUUGUGAAAACUGGAGGCUUAACCUCCAGACGUCGACGGAAACCGCGUGGCUAGAGUCCGGAAGAGGAGAGUGGAAUUCCUGGUGUAGCGGUGAAAUGCGCAGAUAUCAGGAAGAACACCAAUGGCGAAGGCAGCUCUCUGGGACGGUACUGACACUGAGGCGCGAAAGCGUGGGGAGCGAACAAGG